rnacentral:rRNA from 1 species
AGUGAACGCUGGCGGUAGGCCUAACACAUGCAAGUCGAACGGCAGCACAGUAAGAGCUUGCUCUUACGGUUGGCGAGUGGCGGAUGGGUGACGCGUACAUCGCCAUCUUCUUUUUCUUGGGGGAUAACGUAGGGCCACUUCCGCUACCACAGAAUACGAUCUACCGCUUGAAUCAAGAGAUCUUGGCACUUUUGGCGUUUCAAAGAGCCGAUGUCGGAUUAGCUAGUUGGCGGGGUAAAGGCCCACCAAGGCGACGAUCCGUAGCUGGUCUGAGAGGAUGAUCAGCCACACUGGAACUGAGACACGGUCCAGACUCCUACGGGAGGCAGCAGUGGGGAAUAUUGGACAAUGGGCGCAAGCCUGAUCCAGCCAUACCGCGUGGGUGAAGAAGGCCUUCGGGUUGUAAAGCCCUUUUGUUGGGAAAGAAAAGCAGCAGGUUAAUACCCCGCUGUUCUGACGGUACCCAAAGAAUAAGCACCGGCUAACUUCGUG